rnacentral:rRNA from 1 species
GAGACUCUGUGCGCGUGCAUAUCAAUAAGCGGAGGAAAAGAAACUAACAAGGAUUCCCUAGUAACGGCGAGUGAAGCGGGAAGAGCUCAGAUUUGAAAUCUUAAAGGGUUUCCCUUUACGAAUUGUAGUUUAAAGAAGUGUUUUCUGUUGGAGUUUCGGUAAAAGUUCUUUGGAAUAGGACAUCAUAGAGGGUGAGAAUCCCGUAUUUGACCGUUACUUUCCAGCUGUGUGAUACACUUUCAAAGAGUCGGAUUGUUUGGGAAUGCAGUCCAAAAUGGGUGGUAAAUUUCAUCUAAAGCUAAAUAUUGGCGAGAGACCGAUAGCGAACAGGUACCGUGAGGGAAAGAUGGAAAGAACUUUGAAAAGAGAGUUAAACAGUACGUGAAAUUGUCAAAAGGGAAGCGUUUGACACCAGUGUUGUUUAGUUGAAAAUCAAUUCAAUAGUUUUUGAUUCUAAGUAGUAUUGACUUCAUCAGCUUGCUGCUUUCUUCUCAGAAAUUAUGAAUGCACUUUUCAGUUAACAAGUCAACAUCAAUUUCUUUUGUUGUAAAAGGGUAAGAGGAAGGUGGCUUACGCUUCGGCGUAAGUGUUUAUAGCCUUUUACCUCUGCAAUCGGAGAGAUUGAGGACAGCAGCGUAGACUCUUCGGGGUUAGAUACACUUGUGCUAAGCUAUAGCCUUGUAUAGACAACUUGUUGACUAUGCUCAGUCAUGUAGCUUACUCGCUUGUGCUAUUUUACCUACGCUUAGGAUGUUGAAGAUGUAGCACAUCA